AUACGGAAGGUCCUGGCGUUAUCCGGAUUUAUUGGGUUUAAAGGGAGCGUAGGCGGGGGAUUAAGCGUGCUGUGCAAUACCGCGGCUCAACCGUGGGAGUGCAGCGCGAACUGGUUUCCUUGAGUGGGCGGAAGGUACGCGGAAUUCGUGGUGUAGCGGUGAAAUGCUUAGAUAUCACGAGGAACCCCGAUUGCGAAGGCAGCGUGCCGCAGCCUCACUGACGCUGAAGCUCGAAGGUGCGGGUAUCGAACAGGAUUAGAUACCCUGGUAGUCCGCACGGUAAACGAUGGAUGCCCGCUGUGCGCCUGUUAUGGUGCGCGGCCAAGCGAAAGCGUUAAGCAUCCCACCUGGGGAGUACGCCGGCAACGGUGAAACUCAAAGGAAUUGACGGGG
rnacentral:rRNA from 1 species